UACGUAGGUGGCGAGCGUUGUCCGGAAUUACUGGGCGUAAAGGGCGUGUAGGCGGCCUUUUAAGUCAGAUGUGAAAUCUCAGGGCUUAACCCUGAAACUGCAUUUGAAACUGGAGGGCUUGAGGACCGGAGAGGGCAGUGGAAUUCCCAGUGUAGCGGUGAAAUGCGUAGAUAUUGGGAGGAACACCAGUGGCGAAGGCGACUGCCUGGACGGGACCUUACGCUGAGGCGCGAAAGCUAGGGGAGCAAACGGG
rnacentral:rRNA from 1 species